CAAAAACAUGUCCUUUUGUUAUUUAUUUAAGGUCUGACCUGCCCAAUGAGGAAUUGAAUGGCCGCAGUAUUUUAACUGUGCUAAGGUAGCAUAAUCAUUUGUCUUUUAAUUGAGGGCUGGAAUGAAGGGUUGGACAAGAUACUAACUUUCUUUGGCUUAAUUUGGGAAUUUAAUUUUUGAGUUAAAAAGCUUAGAUUUACUUGUUGGACGAGAAGACCCUAUAGAUCUUUAUAAUUUUAUAUUUUGAUGAUUUAGGGAUUUAUUUACUUGGAAUUAGGGAAUUAUUUUGUUGGGGUGACUGUAGAAUUGAAUGAACUUCUAUUUGCUUAAUUCAUUUAUUGAUGUUUAUUUGAUCCAUAUUUUGUGAUUAUAAGAUUAAGUUACCUUAGGGAUAACAGCGUAAUUUUUCCGGAGAGUUCAUAUUGAUGGAGGAGUUUGCGACCUCGAUGUUGGAUUAAAAUAAGUUAUAGAUGCAGGAGUUUAUAUACUGGGUCUGUUCGACCUUUGAAUUUUUACAUGAUCUGA
rnacentral:rRNA from 1 species